rnacentral:rRNA from 1 species
AGAGCUCAAAUUUGAAAUCUAGUAGCCUUCGGCUGCUCGAGUUGUAAUCUAGAGAAGUGUUUUCCGUGCCGGCCCAUGUACAAGUCCCUUGGAACAGGGCGUCAUAGAGGGUGAGAAUCCCGUCCUUGACAUGGACCCCCGGUGCUCUGUGAUACACUUUCAACGAGUCGAGUUGUUUGGGAAUGCAGCUCAAAAUGGGUGGUGAAUUCCAUCUAAAGCUAAAUAUUGGCGAGAGACCGAUAGCGAACAAGUACCGUGAGGGAAAGAUGAAAAGCACUUUGGAAAGAGAGUUAAACAGUACGUGAAAUUGUUGAAAGGGAAACGAUUGAAGUCAGUCAUGCUCU